AAAAGGCAGGAGUAUGACCCUAAUGGAAAUCCCUCUGCAUUAAAACUUGAGCAGUGGGGAACCAGUUUUCCUUCUCACAAGGGCAAACCAGGAAAAUAAAUGCCUUAUACUGGAAUAAUAACUUUAGAAGUUCCCUAGGGACUAGUUAUCUCCCAAUUUAAAUAUGUAAAGCAGAGCCUAGAAAUCUAAUAAAGGCAUAGCAAUGUGGAAGAAAGUUGUUGCCCUAUAAGUGGCAUUUACCAAUCUGAGGUAAGAACAGUUACUGAAAGAGUUGAGAGAAAGCACAGAAUCUAGAGAAAGAGGAAACAAAAACUGUCUGUUGUUGCAGCUCCAGCACUCAGUCUCCUGGGGCAAUGGAGAUGCAUUAAGAGCUCAGCUCACUCCCGGCUAAAUUCCUUGCUCAUGAAGUAACUUUCUGAUAAUAAUUUGGCUUUCCAUGUAGACUUUCAAACAGAGGAGAGAUGGUGCUGACCAGCCAACAUGGAUAUUCACAUUUCCUCAGAGACUAUAUAUAUUGGGAGCUAGUUUCUCAUGAGUUGUUUGAUAUAAUCAGUCCCCCUGAGCCCAGUCAUUUCCAUGUGAGCUAAAAAGCUUGGGUUGUGGACCUUGCAAAGCUGAGGAUGAGACCUAGAUUACGGUUCCCACAGCAAGAUGGCAGGUUUUCUUUGGGAAAUUUUAGAGUCUUCAUUCUAAAUUGAACUUCUCUAUGUGUCCUCAUCCAGAAAGGGACUCAAUACUUGAUGGGUUUGUGCCAAGCUUUUGUAUUAAAUUCAGCUACAUCACAGUAAAUUAUAAAAGUUAAUGACCUAUAAUUAUAUUUUCUAUGGUAAGGCACCUAGAAUCAAGUAAUUGCCAAAUACAAGUGAAAUAAAAGCCAGCAGUGGCUAGAAUUUUCACCCAGUUCUUCUAUAUUUCUAGGCCUUUCUAAGCUCAUAGCAGCAACUUCCCUCUCCCUUUCUCUAGUCUUCUUCCUUCGCUUCCAUCUUCUUUUCUCUCAGCUACAAUGAACUGCUCCACAACAUUAAAUGUCUUUAAACUCUUCCAUAUGAGAUUCGAUUUGGCUCUGAGGAGUUAAACCAAAGCGCAAGUUACAAAUGUCCUAAGUGUUCUUCCACAGGGAGUAUUUUAGUUGAUGUCUUCAAACAUACCACCCUCAGAAAAGCAAAUAUUUCAAAGACAGAAAUGCAACUGUUGAAUGUGGCGAUAAUUCUGCAUGCAGUAGUAAGACAAAUUUAUGAAUAAAAAUUCACAUUUCUAAUCAUAUAAACGUUUUAAAAGGUUGUUUACUUGACCAUAUAUUGAGAAACUUGCUUCAGAAUCUGAUUCCAGGUCAGGGGCUAUAGCUUGUUCAUACCACUCUGUGAGAGGACUGCUUCACUCUCACCACCAGGCUGACUAGUGCUCUGUGGUCUUGAUCAAUUGUCCCAGCAGAGUUGGUGCAUGGGAAAGCCUUUCUUGGCCUUAUCAGCAGCUCAGCCUGGGAGGUUGGCCCGGGGGCUGACCAAGCACAAAAUAGAAAAGCCACUAAUAAGAUCCAGCUGGAACAAAUAGCCUCUAUUUAUUUUAGGAAACUAAUGAUAUGUCAUCAUGACACAUAUCUAACCUUAGUAUUUCUGAUUGGACAGGCCAGUUAUGUGGGCUAUGAUUCAAGCCAUGGUUACGGCUCUGCUGCUGGAAGAAGGAUUCACCUGGUUUUGUGGUCUCGCUCUUCAGGUAUUCCUUGCAUUAAGUAAUCAUGUUCGACAAAAUUUCACAUCUCAAGUACUGGAAAUUUAGGGAGGUGCUUAUUUUACAUUAAAAAAAGAUCCCAAUCAAGGAAUUUUUAAGAAGUGACAAGUGAUUAGUUUAAUGGCGAUAUUAUCUACUGACAUUGUUCUGUUGUUAUUUCAGAAAUUGUAAUCAUUAUCCAUCCUAAGGACGGAGGAAUCAACGUUUCGGUAGAGAAGAAUUAGGUGCAACCUAGACAAGUGAGACAUUUCUAUGGUCUGGGUCUGAGAAAACAUGACAGGAAAGAAAGAGAAGGGCUGCAAGGCCACGGGCUCAAAGCAGAGGCUACCGAAGGACAAAUGUGUUACAAAGUGUUAUGAAAUGAAUUGACUUACUAGGAAGGCACAACAUCCAGCAUUACAAAAGGACUGCUCUGCCCUAGCCAUGUCCAGCUGAAUAACUGGCCACUACAUGACCCUCCACACCUCCAGGGUGGAGGCAGAGUUUGUAAGCUUGUGGCCUGCAGACCUAAAGUGGCCCAAAGAUGUAUUCUUUCUGAGCCCUCUCCCAAGUGAUUUGAAAAAUUAAGCCACACUAAAACAACAGGAGAUUUCACGCACACACAAAUUGAGAUUUCUAGCAUCUCUUAAAAGAUAACAAAGAAAUAAGCACUUAAAACUGAACUCAUAUUCCACAUGGCAGCACCAACUGGCCAAGAUUCAGUGGCUGCUGCUCCUUUACAGAGCAACGGCGAUGCUUCUGUGCCAGUGUGUGGCGGUGAAAGCAGGACCCUGGGGCCGGCCUGUCUAGCUGCCCUCCAACUCCACCCCUUACUAGCUGUGGGAACUUGUUAACUGUUCUGUUCCUCCGUUUACUCAUCAGUAAAAUGUGAUUCAUUGUGCUUAUCUAUUAGGUUGUUGUAAAGAUUAAAUAAAUUAACAAGUAUACUGCG
rnacentral:lncRNA from 10 species